rnacentral:rRNA from 1 species
UACGUAGGGUGCGAGCGUUAAUCGGAAUUACUGGGCGUAAAGCGUGCGCAGGCGGUUUUGUAAGCCAGAUGUGAAAUCCCCGGGCUUAACCUAGGAAUGGCAUUUGGGACUGCAAGGCUGGAGUGUGGCAGAGGAGACUGGAAUUCCUGGUGUAGCAGUGAAAUGCGUAGAUAUCAGGAGGAAUACCGAUGGCGAAGGCAGGUCUCUGGGCUGACACUGACGCUCAUGCACGAAAGCGUGGGGAGCAAACAGG